rnacentral:rRNA from 1 species
AGUGAACGCUGGCGGUAGGCCUAACACAUGCAAGUCGAACGGCAGCACAGUAAGAGCUUGCUCUUACGGGUGGCGAGUGGCGGACGGGUGAGGAAUACAUCGGAAUCUACUUUUUCGUGGGGGAUAACGUAGGGAAACUUACGCUAAUACCGCAUACGACCUACGGGUGAAAGCAGGGGAUCUUCGGACCUUGCGCGAUUGAAUGAGCCGAUGUCGGAUUAGCUAGUUGGCGGGGUAAAGGCCCACCAAGGCGACGAUCCGUAGCUGGUCCGAGAGGAUGAUAAGGGACAUUGUGACGGAGACACGGCCAAGAGUCCGACGCGAGUCAGCAGGGUGGAAUGUGUGAGCAGGGGCGGAAGCAGGAUCCAGAAAGGCCGCGGGUGUGAAGAAGGCCUUCGGGUUGUAAAGCACUUUUUUGCGGAAAGAAAAACUUGACUAUAACACAGUCGGGGGAUGACGGGAACGGAAGAAUAAGAAACGGCUAACUACGGG